CAUUGUCAAUUGACAAUGAGAGAGAGCACGCUUGUUGCCAUUCAUGCAAGGGCAUGGAUGUAUACAAGCGUGCUCUCUGUCGUUGUCAUAUGAUUUGUUC
rnacentral:pre_miRNA from 2 species